CAAUAGCGUAUAUUAAAGUUGUUGCGGUUAAAAAGCUCGUAGUUGGAUUUCUGCCGAGGACGACCGGUCCGCCCUCUGGGUGUGUAUCUGGUUUGGCCUGGGCAUCUUCUUGGAGAACGUAGCUGCACUUGACUGUGUGGUGCGGUGUCCAGGACUUUUACUUUGAGGAAAUUAGAGUGUUUCAAGCAGGCACACGCCUUGAAUACAUUAGCAUGGAAUAAUAAGAUAGGACCUCGGUUCUAUUUUGUUGGUUUCUAGAGCUGAGGUAAUGAUUAAUAGGGAUAGUUGGGGGCAUUCGUAUUUAACUGUCAGAGGUGAAAUUCUUGGAUUUAUGAAAGACGAACUACUGCGAAAGCAUUUGCCAAGGAUGUUUUCAUUAA
rnacentral:rRNA from 1 species